rnacentral:rRNA from 1 species
GACGAACGCUGUUGGCGUGCUUAGCACAUGCAAGUCGAACGGAAAGGCCCUGCUUUUGUGGGGUGCUCGAGUGGCGAACGGGUGAGUAACACGUGAGUAACCUGCCCUUGACUUUGGGAUAACUUCAGGAAACUGGGGCUAAUACCGGAUAGGAGCUCCUGCUGCAUGGUGGGGGUUGGAAAGUUUCGGCGGUUGGGGAUGGACUCGCGGCUUAUCAGCUUGUUGGUGGGGUAGUGGCUUACCAAGGCUUUGACGGGUAGCCGGCCUGAGAGGGUGACCGGCCACAUUGGGACUGAGAUACGGCCCAGACUCCUACGGGAGGCAGCAGUGGGGAAUAUUGCACAAUGGGCGGAAGCCUGAUGCAGCAACGCCGCGUGCGGGAUGACGGCCUUCGGGUUGUAAACCGCUUUCGCCUGUGACGAAGCGUGAGUGACGGUAAUGGGUAAAGAAGCACCGGCUAACUACGUGCCAGCAGCCGCGGUGAUACGUAGGGUGCGAGCGUUGUCCGGAUUUAUUGGGCGUAAAGGGCUCGUAGGUGGUUGAUCGCGUCGGAAGUGUAAUCUUGGGGCUUAACCCUGAGCGUGCUUUCGAUACGGUUUGACUUGAGGAAGGUAGGGGAGAAUGGAAUUCCUGGUGGAGCGGUGGAAUGCGCAGAUAUCAGGAGGAACACCAGUGGCGAAGGCGGUUCUCUGGGCCUUUCCUGACGCUGAGGAGCGAAAGCGUGGGGAGCGAACAGGCUUAGAUACCCUGGUAGUCCACGCUGUAAACGGUGGGUACUAGGUGUGGGGUCCAUUCCACGGGUUCCGUGCCGUAGCUAACGCUUUAAGUACCCCGCCUGGGGAGUACGGCCGCAAGGCUAAAACUCAAAGGAAUUGACGGGGCCCCGCACAAGCGGCGGAGCAUGCGGAUUAAUUCGAUGCAACGCGUAGAACCUUACCUGGGUUUGACAUGGAUCGGGAGUGCUCAGAGAUGGGUGUGCCUCUUUUGGGGUCGGUUCACAGGUGGUGCAUGGCUGUCGUCAGCUCGUGUCGUGAGAUGUUGGGUUAAGUCCCGCAACGAGCGCAACCCUUGUUCACUGUUGCCAGCACGUUAUGGUGGGGACUCAGUGGAGACCGCCGGGGUCAACUCGGAGGAAGGUGGGGAUGACGUCAAGUCAUCAUGCCCCUUAUGUCCAGGGCUUCACGCAUGCUACAAUGGCUGGUACAGAGAGUGGCGAGCCUGUGAGGGUGAGCGAAUCUCGGAAAGCCGGUCUCAGUUCGGAUUGGGGUCUGCAACUCGACCUCAUGAAGUCGGAGUCGCUAGUAAUCGCAGAUCAGCAACGCUGCGGUGAAUACGUUCCCGGG